GCCCGUCUAGCUCAGUUGGUAGAGUGCAAGUAUCUUAACCUUAUGGUCGUGAGUUCGAUCCCCAUGAUGUGCU
rnacentral:tRNA from 1 species